GACGGAGGGUGCUAGCGUUGUUCGGAAUUACUGGGCGUAAAGCGCACGUAGGCGGACAUUUAAGUCAGGGGUGAAAUCCCGGGGCUCAACCCCGGAACGGCCUUUGAUACUGGGUGUCUUGAGUUCGGAAGAGGUGAGUGGAAUUGCGAGUGUAGAGGUGAAAUUCGUAGAUAUUCGCAGGAACACCAGUGGCGAAGGCGGCUCACUGGUCCGAUACUGACGCUGAGGUGCGAAAGCGUGGGGAGCAAACAGG
rnacentral:rRNA from 1 species